CAGCAGUGGGGAAUAUUGCACAAUGGGGGAAACCCUGAUGCAGCCAUGCCGCGUGUGUGAAGAAGGCCUUCGGGUUGUAAAGCACUUUCAGUAGGGAGGAAGGUAGUGUAGUUAACACCUGCAUUAUUUGACGUUACCUACAGAAGAAGCACCGGCUAACUCCGUGCCAGCAGCCGCGGUAAUACGGAGGGUGCGAGCGUUAAUCGGAAUUACUGGGCGUAAAGCGCAUGCAGGCGGCCUGUUAAGUCAGAUGUGAAAGCCCGGGGCUUAACCUCGGAAUUGCAUUUGAAACUGGCAGGCUAGAGUCUUGUAGAGGGGGUAGAAUUUCAGGUGUAGCGGUGAAAUGCGUAGAGAUCUGAAGGAAUACCAGUGGCGAAGGCGGCCCCCUGGACAAAGACUGACGCUCAGAUGCGAAAGCGUGGGGAGCAAACAGGAUUAGACACCCUGGUAG
rnacentral:rRNA from 1 species